rnacentral:tRNA from 1 species
GGGAAAGUAACAUUACGGUAGUGUAACUGGCUUGAAACCAGUAUUAGGGGGUUCAAUUCCUUCCUUUCUCG